CCACACCACAAAAUGUACACAGAAGUACCAGAGACGUUUGAUCGAUCCCACUAAUUUACAUCCAACGUUCUAUAUUACAUCAAGCAUCUACCACACAAAUCAACGAUCUGGAUUAAAUGUUCUGCCAGGGCAGACUACCCUGCCCACGUCCUGCAGCCCCCCUCCCACGAUCUACCUCAGGCAAACAAGCCGCCACACAACAAGCCGCUAAACGCAUCUGAGCCCCCAUUCAUCACGUUCACCUCACCUGCCCGGGCUGCGCCCCUGCCUCCCUCCCCACCGCCGUGCUCCCUUUGCCUUCGGAUCGCUCCCCUCUGUGGUUGUACGCCGCCCGCCGCCCGCGCAACCUUCCUUCACCCCGCUCGACGUCGUCUUGCCCGUCCGCCUCUCCUAUGGCGCACGGCACCUGCCGCCGGACCCGCCCUUCCACCAUCUCCUGUGUCGCCGGCAGAACCUCACUUCGUGCUGCUCGCCAUCGGAUUGGCCUGCCCGUGCGCCUCUCCUACGACGCCAGCCUCCAGCUCUGCCCUCCUCCAUCUCCUAUGGUGCACGCCGCCCGCCGCCGGCCCCGCCCUUUGGCAUCUCCUAUGGCGCGCGGCACCCGUCCGUCGGCCUCUCUUGUGGCUAACGGCUGUUGCUGCUCGAUGCCUCGAACAACGCUACAGAGUGGCCCUGCCACGCCUUCAUCGUAUACCUCAUCGAAAUGCCUACUUUAAAGCUGUGUGAAUCCAUCAUUUUCCUUUGAGUUUGCUAUUGAGGUGACUUGGAAACCUUUUCUUUAACUUGGUGGAUGUAGUUGUAGUGAUGGAGACUUGCCUGAAUGUUGCUUUCCUGGGCGUGAAGUGCCUUGAAUUAUCAUAAAUUCUGUAUAAAUGUACGUACCUGUCUGCACCUGAUGGUGAUCUGCCAAAGUUUUGUACUUUCGAGGUAAAUUUGCUA